UACGAACCGUCCAAACGUUACUCGGAAUCACUGGCUUAAAGGGUGCGUAGGCCGCGCGGAGGGUGGGAUGUGAAUCCCCCGGCUCAACCGGGGAAUAGCGUCCCAAACCGCCGUGCUCGAGGGAGACAGAGGUGAGCGGAACUGAUGGUGGAGCGGUGAAAUGCGUUGAUAUCAUCAGGACACCAGUGGCGAAAGCGGCUCACUGGGUCU
rnacentral:rRNA from 1 species